GACGAACGCUGGCGGCGUGCUUAACACAUGCAAGUCGAACGGAAAGGCCCUGCUUUUGGGGGGUGCUCGAGUGGCGAAAGGGUGAGUAACACGUGAGUAACCUGCCCUUGACUUUGGGAUAACUUCAGGAAACUGGGGCUAAUACCGGAGAGGAGCUCCUGCUGCGUGGUGGGGGGUGGGAAGUUUCGGCGGUUGGGGAUGGACUCGCGGCUGAUCAGCUUGUUGGUGGGGUAGUGGCUUACCAAGGCUUUGACGGGUAGCCGGCCUGAGAGGGUGACCGGCCACGUUGGGACUGAGAUCCGGCCCAGGCUGCUACGGGAGGCAGCAGUGGGGAAUAUUGCGCAAUGGGCGGAAGCCUGAUGCAGCAACGCCGCGUGCGGGAUGACGGCCUUCGGGUUGUAGGCCGCUUUCGCCUGUGACGAAGCGUGGGUGACGGUAAUGGGUAAAGAAGCACCGGCUAACUACGUG
rnacentral:rRNA from 1 species